GCGUAACAGCUCACUAGUCGAGCGUUCCUGCGCGGAAAAUAAUCGGGCAUUAAGCUAAUCACCGAAGCUAUGGACUCCUUCGGGAGUGGUAGGGGAGCAUUCCAGUGUUGCAGAAGGUGUACUGCGAGGUAUGCUGGAGAUACUGGAAAAGCAAAUGUAGGCAUGAGUAACGAUAAAUGAGGUGAGAGACCUCAUCGCCGUAAGACUAAGGGUUCCUCGUUCGAUGUUAAUCAGAACAGGGUUAGUCGGGUCCUAAGGUGUAGCCGACAGGCGAAGCCGAUGGCAAACGGGUUAAUAUUCCCGUACC
rnacentral:rRNA from 1 species